GUACCAGUUGGACUAAUGUCAAUCGUAAUGAAAAAGCAUUGUGAAUUCGGGAAAAAAAAUUAAGAACCCAUUAAGAAGAUUGCAUUCUAGAACAUUUCCAGACUAUGUUGGUCAGACAAUGUGGAGGAGAGAGUGAUUGAGAGAGUGAUUAAAGCAGAAUGAUUAAGUCAGCCAUGCUCCCACGUCGUUCCCUCUCAGACGGAGGCAAAGAGCCAGGGACACAUACCUCCACACAAAGAGCUACAGCAGCCCCAUUUAGCCUCCAUUCGCUCUCCCUCAAUACUGACAAGUAAGCGCUCAAGAAAAGGCUUGUCUCAAUUUGAAGGAGGGAGAGAAAACGAGCCUUGUAAGCAGAUUACACGGGAGGAGGAGUUGAGGGGCUGCUUUUGGUAGAGUAAAAACUCUUGUGAGAGUGGAACAGAGCAGAGUGCAGUUGAUUGGAGCAGACAGGCUGAUUAUGGCACCUAGAGCUUGGAGGUAAUUUACCUGUCACCUGUCACUGGAGCUCCUACACCUGGCUGGCACCAGAGCCUUCCCCACUGUACUGUACCUCUGUGCUGUAGCAGCUAGCUCAACUACUCACCGCUUAACCACCCAGCUCCAAAUAACACCAGCUAUGCCUCACCACUCAAACAUCAACCACACAGACCUGGUUUCUUCCUAGGUUCCUGCCUUCUAGGGAGUUCUUCCUAGCCACUGUGCUUACAGCUGAAUGGAAAAGGAGAUAGCAUGUGCAGUGGAGGACAAGCUGUUAUGGACGACCAUAUAAUGUAAUACCACGACUAAAGAGGUGCUUGCCAACGGAAUGUGUUUCAAGUGGUUGAAAUGCAGGAGGACGGAAGGGGAUGCACAGUUGGGUUAUUAUUUUUGUACAUGACAGGACAUCCCCCACACAUAGCUCCCCCACAGUCAAGUUAUUUGUAAGUAGAAAGGAGAGUAACCCACAUAACAGUAAGAUUAUUAUUACACUGUGAGCAGUGUCAAGGCUAU
rnacentral:lncRNA from 1 species